rnacentral:rRNA from 1 species
UAAGGAAUAUUGGGCAAUGGACGCAAGUCUGACCCAGCUAUGCCGCGUGGAGGAUGAAGGUCCUCUGGAUUGUAAACUUCUUUUAUCUGGGAAGAAACCUAUUUUUCUAAAUAGCUGACGGUACCAGAUGAAUAAGCACCGGCUAACUCCGUGCCAGCAGCCGCGGUGAUACGGAGGGUGCAAGCGUUAUCCGGAUUCACUGGGUUUAAGGGUGCGUAGGUGGGUUGGUAAGUCAGUGGUGAAAUCUCCGAGCUUAACUUGGAAACUGCCAUUGAUACUAUCAGUCUUGAAUACCGUGGAGAUGAGCGGAAUAUGUCAUGUAGCGGUGAAAUGCUUAGAUAUGACAUAGAACACCAAUUGCGAAGGCAGCUCGUUACACGAAUAUUUGACACUCAGGCACGAAAGCGUGGGAUCAAAACA